UACGAAGGGAGCUAGCGUUGUUCGGAAUUACUGGGCGUAAAGCGCACGUAGGCGGCUUUGUAAGUUAGAGGUGAAAGCCCGGGGCUCAACUCCGGAAUUGCCUUUAAGACUGCAUCGCUAGAAUUGUGGAGAGGUGAGUGGAAUUCCGAGUGUAGAGGUGAAAUUCGUAGAUAUUCGGAAGAACACCAGUGGCGAAGGCGACUCACUGGACACAUAUUGACGCUGAGGUGCGAAAGCGUGGGGAGCAAACAGG
rnacentral:rRNA from 1 species